AGUAGCUAACUUAGAGGAAGAGGAGUGUGAGCACUGCCUAAGUCCGACUGACUGGAGACUAAAGCGGAGCAGCAUUUACUGCUUCAUCAGGGAGGAGCAGAUAUUACCAACUGAAAAAAAAUAACACAAGAUGAGCAAAAACCCACACAUGCACAGGGAGAACAUGCGAACUCCAUGUUCUCCCUGUGCGAACUUGGGAUCUCCUAGCUGCAAGGCAAAAGUGCUAAUCACUGAGUCACUGAAGAACAACUAAAUAUGUGGAGUUUCCUCUAAGUUUUCUAUGUUGACUUAGAGAUAACUUAUUGCUGUGUAUCUGUACCUUCUGUCACGGUCUUGCCCUGGCUCCCUGUCUGCCUUUUCUCUCUCUCUCCUCCUGGCAUCUCUCCUUUGCCCUCUCUCUCGGUCUCACCCCCCUCUGUGCUAUGCUCCUGACUGCGCCGGUGAUCGGGGCUCAUCGACUCCAGCUGUGCAAGGACCGCAGCUGCAUCUACUCGGUCAUCAGCGCCGGAUAAAGACCUGCUCAUCCCUCCAGUCUCUGCCACAUCGUAGCGUCCGCUUCGUCGUGUUCCUUCCACUGGACCGACCGGUCCGUAGCCAGCCUGUCUGCUCUGCCGGUCUUCUUGGCUGCCCCUGUGCCGGUUCCCUUCCCGGCUUUCUCCACGGCACGUCCAGCCGUUUCACUGCGGCACGUCCAGCAGCCGCCGCCGAUCCUCACAGCACAUCCAGCCGCCUCCGACCUCCGCGGCACGUCCAGCAGUGCCAGUGUGCGUCCUCAGGACCGCCGGUUACCCGAGCCUGCCAGCCCCCUCUCCCUCUGUUAGCUAUUUUGAUUUUGUGAGUGUGGUCUGGGCUGUUUAAUUUUGUUUUGAGAGUUCGCCAUGUGUGACAAUAAAAACCUUUGUUCAAACCGG